rnacentral:rRNA from 1 species
ACGUUGGCGGCGUGCCUAACACAUGCAUGUCGAACGGAGUUUACUCGCUGAUGAAGCUUCGGCAGAAUCUUGAGUAAACUUAGUGGCGGACGGGUGAGUAACGCGUGGGCAACCUGCCUCAUACUGGGGGAUAACAGUUGGAAACGACUGUUAAUACCGCAUAAGCGCACAGAGUCGCAUGACUCAGUGUGAAAAACUCCGGUGGUAUGAGAUGGGCCCGCGUCAGAUUAGCCAGUUGGCGGGGUAACGGCCCACCAAAGCGACGAUCUGUAGCCGGACUGAGAGGUCGGACGGCCACAUUGGGACUGAGACACGGCCCAAACUCCUACGGGAGGCAGCAGUGGGGGAUAUUGCACAAUGGAGGAAACUCUGAUGCAGCGACGCCGCGUGAGUGAAGAAGUAUUUCGGUAUGUAAAGCUCUAUCAGCAGGGAAGAAAGGCUCGCAAGAGAGAUGACGGUACCUGACUAAGA